CAGGGAGGGGGUAGAAGAUGAGGUUAGAGAAACCAAGGGCUGGAUUAUGAAGACCUUUAAAAGGAUCGCUCUGCUGUGUAGAGAACAGUCUGUAAAGAGGCAAGAAUAGAAGCCAGCAGACUAAUUAGGAGCCUCGUUUGAAGUCACUAGCAAGAGACCACGAUAGCUUGCAUGACAGCAAAAGCAAUGGAGAUGAUAUGAAUGUUUCUGGGAAAGUCUGACAGAGCAUUGUUUGGUAUAUGUUGAGCUGACCAGAAGAUAAAUUAGAGCUGGAGGAUUUUAACAGCAUAUUUCACCUGUGACAGACUAUUGCGCUACAGGCUGACCUACGAAGGGAAGAGAAAUCUUUGUGGACAUUGAUCAAAGCCACCAUCUGCAAAGUUACUGGAACCCUCUAUUCUUCUUCUACCAGAAGCAAACACAAAAGAAAAUAUGCACAUACACCUGGAUAUGAUGAAAAAAGUCUUGGAAAGAUGUCCAGGAAACUGUUAGCAGCAGUUGACUAUAGGGAGCAGGGCUGGACUGUAGGUGGGAGAAGACUUGCUCUGGGUCAUAUAUGCAAACUUCUGUUUUUGUUUGUUUGGUUUGGUUUGUCUUUAUCCUUUGUAUGAAUUACUUUUCAUUGAAUAAUAACAAAAGUAACUAGCUUUUUAGAGUAAAAAUAAAAGGCACUAAUACCCUCAUUCAACAGAUUGGGAGACUGAGAUGGAAAAGGGAAAGGGCGUACUGUGUUCAAGGAGCUAAUUAGUAGAUGAAUAAGAACCACAAUCCCUCUCCGUCUGAGUUUUCUUUCAGCUUGCUCAUUUCUCUUACCCUUCCCUUCAGAGACUGUGCGUCAGAGAUAAGAGAGAGUCUUCUGUUUCAUUGCC